GGAAUUGGUUGAUGCUGCUAUUCCUUCGCAUAUCCUGGAGCCUUUCAAGCGCACAAUUCUACAAGUUGACGGAGUUGAGGGUUGUAGUCACCUGAGAGGAAGGAGGGCUGGUUCAUAUCUCUAUCUUGAUGUCAUAGUUGAGGUUGACCCCUUUUCUAGUGUAAGUGCUGCGCAUGAGAUCGGGGAAAACGUCAGCCGCGAAAUCCAGCGAUUACAUCCCGAAAUAGCUGAAGUCUUCAUUCACAUAGAACCGUCAACUAUACACAUUCCACCCACUGUUGUGUCUCAACAGAGAAGUGCUAACACAAUGGAUGCAGACAUUGAAAAUAUAGUGUACAACAUUUUAUCGACACACUUUUCUCAGAAGAUGAUUGUCGAGCGUGUGACUCCACAUCUACUGCAAGGACAGGUUUUACUUCAAGUGGAAGUUUCUAUGCCUCCCGAUCUCUUGAUUAGGGAUGCGAUAAAAGUCGCAGAAGAAGCAGAAAAAUUAAUCAUAGAGGCAGCACCAAAUAUUGUUCAUGUGUGUAUCCAGCUGCGUCUAGGGCGAUCCAUGCCAGAGUCUUACCACAAAUUGGUGAAGAGCACAAGUCAGGGACUUGUAUACACUUAAAAUGUGCAUGCAUACAUCCACAUCAUGUAUAAUCAAUAAAGAAAUUCCGACUAAAAAAUAAAUCAAAGCUACACAGUGUCGAUUCUCUAUUUUAUCCUCCAAAUAUAGAAAAUGAAGAGUAAACUAGAGGUG
rnacentral:misc_RNA from 1 species